rnacentral:rRNA from 1 species
GACGAACGCUGGCGGCGUGCUUAACACAUGCAAGUCGAACGGAAAGGCCCUGCUUUUGUGGGGUGCUCGAGUGGCGAACGGGUGAGUAACACGUGAGUAACCUGCCCUUGACUUUGGGAUAACUUCAGGAAACUGGGGCUAAUACCGGAUAGGAGCUCCUGCUGAAUGGUGGGGGUUGGAAAGUUUCGGCGGUUGGGGAUGGACUCGCGGCUUAUCAGCUUGUUGGUGGGGUAGUGGCUUACCAAGGCUUUGACGGGUAGCCGGCCUGAGAGGGUGACCGGCCACAUUGGGACUGAGAUACGGCCCAGACUCCUACGGGAGGCAGCAGUGGAGAAUAUUGCACAAUGGGCGGAAGCCUGAUGCAGCAACGCCGCGUGCGGGAUGACGGCCUUCGGGUUGUAAACCGCUUUCGCCUGUGACGAAGCGUGAGUGACGGUAAUGGGUAAAGAAGCACCGGCUAACUACGUG